rnacentral:rRNA from 1 species
UACGAAGGGGGCGAGCGUUGUUCGGAAUUACUGGGCGUAAAGGGCGCGCAGGCGGCUCUGAAAGUCAGAUGUGAAAGCCCCGGGCUUAACCUGGGAAUUGCAUUUGAUACUCUGGAGCUUGAGUGUGGGAGAGGAGAGUGGAAUUCCCAGUGUAGAGGUGAAAUUCGUAGAUAUUGGGAAGAACACCGGCGGCGAAGGCGGCUCUCUGGACCACAACUGACGCUGAGGCGCGAAAGCGUGGGGAGCAAACAGG